UGGAUUUCCACAUUUCUAUUUGACUCCUUUCUUUUCUUCGCUCUCAAUACAGAAAUAAACUGAAAGAGGUAAAAGAGAAAUGAGACCUGAUCACACCACUUGGAAACCAACAUCUUCAGCUCGAACAUCUUCCACUGGCAGACUGUCAAGUGACCCAAGCGGGAAUUCCCUUUGCUGCCUCCAAAUGCUAAUUGUGGGUGAUUACUAGAGCCAUCCUCUUGUAUAUGCCAUACUGGGUUUACAGCUGGGGCCCCCAUCCAUCCUGACUACAGAUCACUCUUCUUCAUUGACUUUAAGCUGCUCAGACAUUUCACAAAAGAUAGAGUAUACAUAGAUUUAAUCUGCAAUGGGAACAUGUUGGCAGAAUGAGGAAUGAGGAAAGGACUAAUCCUUACACAUUCCAGAAGCCAAGAAUGCCCCUUCCCUUCACACCUCCUGCACAUACACUAUUAAACCAAAGUGAUCCCCUCCAAGACUGUAUCUAAACACAGUUUGACUAAGAAGAUCAUCAACAGCCAAGACGACUUGUAGAAAUAAGCUCCUCAUCACAGAUCAGCAACACUGUUGUCUCUUGCAAUGUCUAGGAAAUGAAACCUACUUUGUUCCUUUGAAUUUUCUCAAGCACGUCCAGGUCAGUGGUGUCAGAGAUGCCCCCAUGGAUAAUGAGGACUUUCUGAUCAAUCAGGGUGGCAAGGGGCAACCAGCAAAAGACAUUCUGAAUCAUCUUCAAGAUUUUCUUCCCAUGCGCCUAGGAGGACAAGUCAGAAAGGAAAAGAUGCUAAGAAGCAUCAAGGCUUUAAAGUCCACAUCUCACCUGGUAAAGGAGAUACAAAAGUAUACCUACCUUGUAUUUAUGCAUUACUUCCUUGGUGAAACCAUAGCUAAAGGAACAGGAGAAAGGAAUUUCAGUGGGAUUUCAUAGUGACACCCUUGACAUUGCAACCAGCCCCACCCAGAACCCGUACCGUAAGUUGACCAUGUGGUCCUCAUGGUUCCCGCGGUUGAGGUGAACCUCCUUUGGAUAGAUCAAGAGGAAGGUAAAGAGGAUGAUGAGGAUCUCAAGGGACUGUUUGCCUCUGUCUACAAAGUCCCCGUUGAACACAUAGGACUUAGAAGGGGAAGGAAGGCCAUUCUGUAAAAGCAAGGAACAGGCAGAUAUCACAAGAGAGGCCUCCCAGCAAUCUCCAUGUACCUCUCCCUGCCAGCACCACAUGCUCUCACUCCUGUCCCAGGUUACCUUAUACAAUAGGUCUUGACUCCUACUUUUAUCCUGUAGGCUCCCAGUGGCAAAUGCACCGACAAGUGAAAGCUGGCAGUUGGCAAGAAUUGCCACAGGUAUCAGCGCUUGCAAAAAUGUCCACUGUCACUUCCCAAAUAUAUGUGUACAUCAUAUUUCAGCAAGGGAAUAAGCUGCUGCUUUGUGAAGCCGAACUGAUCAAAUUGACCUGGUGAAUUGCAUGUGAAGGCCCUAGUUUUGCAAGCGCUUCUCAGCAUGGCCCAUGUGGUCCCUCUCCCCAUGCCUGGCCAGCCUCCCUCUCCAGAUUUGGUGCCUACCUUAUAAAAUAUGAGGAACAAAUCAUCCAGCUGGCCAUGCAAGUCUCCUAGCAGGCACAAAAAGACAAGUCAUGGUAUGUUUACCUUCAAUUUUAAAAGACACCAAUGAAUAACUUCCUAUAAAGUAUCUCCUCUAGAAAUUAAUGACCACUGAAAUAUUUGGGAAGUUCAAGGUACAAGUUUCCUUACACCAGGGCUUGUGCCCAAAGGAAAAUGACAUGAUGUAAUGGCUGAUACAUGAGAACACCAAAAAACCCACACCAGCUUCUGAAGCUUCUAAUUCAGAAGCUUUGUUCAUUUAUCUCUGAUGAUGAUGAUACAACAUGACACACGAAACUGAUCAUUACGUGGGAGAAAGCUUUGCAUACAAAAUAAUAAUCAAACUAGUUACCAUCUAGGGGCAGGGUUGGUCAAUGAUGUAACCCAAAAUCUAUCCUGGAAGCCAAACACAGGCUACAAACAGACAAACCACAUUCCCUCAACACCCCGUCUCCUUCCUGUUCCAGACCAAGCAGAAAGUGGGCCAAGAUGCAGACACGCUCCCUCCAGCCUCCAAGCUAGUCUUUGCAGCAGCUCACCUUAAAGCAUCAUAGGGUAAACCUGAAUAUUUUGGACAGCACCAGUUGUCUCUCAGUGCAAACAAGCAUUUGCUUACAGACAUCAUGUAUAUUCGACAUUCAGUACAGAGGAGGGUCCAGGCGCAUGCUACCAUUUGAUAUCUUUCCCAUCCCUUCCAUGCAAGUAAUCUGCCCCAGAGACUGUGCAGUCCCCUCCCUCCCAGACCUACCGCACACGGUGACCUCCUCGCUGUAGCAGGUGGAGACAUGGCUGAUGUUUGGCAACUGCUUGAGGUGCUUCCUGGUCUCAUGCAGAAGGUUUAAGACAUAGCGAGCGUGGAGCUGCUACUAGGAGAAAGCGAAGGGAUUAAAGCAGGAAAUCAGUGACCUCUGAGCAGCAACACAGCUCUGUCAAAGGCCCCGAGGACCCACCAGUGACAGCCUGGAUGGCAGAAGCUCUCACUGGGACAACAGUGCUGACCUAUGGGCUUGCAAACAAGAUGAGGCCAAUACUGGGAAACAGCAGAGUGGAGGAGACUGACCCAAAGCAGCCUCAGUACUGGUGGGGCUGCCGGGAGAAUCCAAAAGCCCUAGGCAAUACCACUUCCUAGAGCAGCAGAAAUUCCAGCCCAAUAUCACAGGAGUAGGAGCUGCAGAGCACAAAACAUGAAGAGCUAUUGCUGUUGUGCAGCUAGGGAACUGAGCCAUGGCGAAGUCAUGGGCAAGAAGGAUACAGACUGCCUAAUGAGAAUGAAACCCUCCAGCUGGACAUAGGAAAGAGUAUAAGAAUCAACAGCGCAAAUAAUCUGCCACAUGUCUACACCUGCCUUUUUGUGCAUUCUCCCAUAUUGAGCUAAAACGACUCUCAGCAUCCACUCCUACCAGAUCCC